UACAAUAUGAAGGCUUCGGCUGGAUUAUUUAUUUCACCCUUGUCUUUUGCGCACUUGUUGUUUCCUGGGCGGGUUCGCCCGCCACCAGGACCACACCAUAAACCUUUUUUGUUAAUGCAGUCAGCGUCAGUACAACAAAUGUAAAUCAUUUACAACUUUCAACAACGGAUCUCUUGGUUCUGGCAUCGAUGAAGAACGCAGCGAAAUGCGAUACGUAGUGUGAAUUGCAGAAUUCAGUGAAUCAUCGAAUCUUUGAACGCACAUUGCGCCCUUUGGUAUUCCAAAGGGCAUGCCUGUUCGAGCGUCAUUUGUACCCUCAAGCUUUGCUUGGUGUUGGGCGUUUUGUCUUUGCUCGCCAAAGACUCGCCUUAAAACGAUUGGCAGCCGACCUCUUGGUUUCGCAGCGCAGCACAAUUUUGCGCUUGCAAAUCAGCAAGUUGGCACUCCAUCAAGAACAUUUUCUUACGUUUGACCUCGGAUCAGGUAGGGAUACCCGCUGAACUUAAGCAUAUCAAUAAGCGGAGGAAAAGAAACCAACAGGGAUUGCCCUAGUAACGGCGAGUGAAGCGGCAACAGCUCAAAUCUGAAAUCUGGCUCUUUCAGAGUCCGAGUUGUAAUUUGCAGAGGGCGCUUUGGCUUUGGCAGCGGUCCAAGUUCCUUGGAACAGGACGUCACAGAGGGUGAGAAUCCCGUACGUG
rnacentral:sRNA from 1 species